AAUAUAAGGCCAGACACUAUAAAACUCUUAGAGGAAAACAUAGGCAGAAUGGUCUUUGACAUAAAUUACAGCAACAUCUUGUUUGAUCCAUCUCCUAGAAUAAUGACAAUAAAGAUACAAAUAAACUAAUGGGACCUAGUCAAACUUAAAAGCUUUUGCACAGCAAAGGAAACCACUAAAAAAAUGAAAAGACAACCCACCAACUGGGAGAAAAUCUUUGCCAACUAUGCAACAGACAAGGGCCUAAUCUCCAAAAUAUACAAACAACUCAUGCAACACAACAACAACAAAAAGCAACUCAAUUGAAAAAUGGGCAGAAUACCUAAAUAGACAUUUUUCCUAAGACAUAUGGAUGACCAACAGGCAUAUGAAAAAAUGCUCAAUAUCACUAAUUAUUAGAGAAAUGCAAAUCAAAACUACAAUGGGGCACCACCUCACACCAGUCAGAAUGGCCAUCAUUAACAAGUCAAAAAUAGCAGGUGCUGGAGAGGAUGUGGAGAAAAAGGUACCCUCCUCCACUGUUGGUGGGAAUGUAAAUUGGUGCAACCACUAUGGAAACUUGUAUGGUGGUUCCUCAGGAAACUAAAUGUAGAACUACCAUAUGAUCCAGCAAUUCCACUGCUGGGCAUAUUUCUGGACGAAACUUUAACUGAAGAAGAUGCAUGCACCCUUAUGUUCUGUGCAGCAUUAUGCACAAUAGCCAAGAGAAGGAAAAAACCUAAAUGUCCAUCGACAGAUGAAUGGAUUAAGAAGAUAUAAUAUAUACAAUGAAAUAUUAGUCACAAAAAAGACAAACUAAUGCCAUUUGCAGCAACAUGGAUGUUUCUAGAGACUCUCAUACUAAGUAAAGUAAGCCAGAAAGAAAAUGACAAAUACCAUAUGAUAUCACUUAUUUGUGGAAUCUAAAAUAUGGAGCAGAUGAUCCUAUCUAAAAAUAACAAACAAAAAACAUAAACACAUCAUGGCCAAGAAGAGCAGACUUGGGGUUCGGAGAGGGGGGAAAGGGGAGGAAGUGGGAUGGAUGGGCCUUUGGGGUUUUUUUUAGAUGCAAUCUGUUGUAUUUGAAUGGAUGGGCAAUGGGAUCCUAUUGUUCAGCACAGGGUGAUGUAUGUGAUUGGGUCACUUUGCUGUACAACAGAACUCGACACAGCACUGUGAAUCAACAAUACUUUAAUAAUAAAAAAAUGAAAAAAAAAAUAAAAGCUUCAUGUCCAUGUGCACAUAUAAAAGAAAAAACAUGUUUAAAUUGUUAAAUUUAACAUCUUGUUAAACUGGCACAUUCUAGACCCAGAAAAUUUCUACUUUGCUAACUAAAAUUACGUUCUUAUUUUCAUCCAUGUAAAGACUCUGAUACACACACUCUAACAAAGAUAUACAGUAUAUGACAAAAUAGAGUUAAUAAUUCUAUUAUUUUGUAAGAGAGUUAUUAAAAGACUAUAUUUAAAAGUACUUUAGGAGUUCCCAUCAUGGCUCCAAAGUUAAUGAACCCAACUAGUAUCUUUGGGGAAGUGGUUUCAAUUCUUGGCCUUGCUCAGUGAGUUAAGGAUCCAGUGUUGCCAUGAGCUCUGGUGUAGGUCACAGAGGUGGCUAGGAUCCUGCAUUGCUGUGGCUCUGGUGUAGGCCAGCACUUACAGCUCUGAUUCAACCCCUCGCCUGGGAACCUCCAUAUGCUGUGGAUAUGGCCCCAAAAAGACAAAAAAAAAGUACUUCAAUUUUUAAAAGAUGAAGUAAGUUCUUUCUGCAUCAUUGUGCUAUGUCUUAAAAAUCGUCCUGUAAUUGGUAUUAUUUAAUGGAAAAAAAAAUCAAAUGCUCAAGCUUUAGGUUUUAUUUUUAUCCAUGUCAAUAUUUUCGAAAUAAAUAAAUAAACAGAGCCUUGGUAGAUGCAUACUUCAGAGUAACUUAAUAUCUCCUUUUAUCCCUUUAUUUUAGAACACUGAGGUGAGAACUCACCACAAAAUGAAUAUUGAACAGUGUGGAUGUGAGGAGGAAAAACAAAAUGAAAUGCAAGGAAACUGGGAGAUCUAUGGUUCACAUACUUGAGUUGCUUUUAAAUAUUUUAAAAAUUGGUUUAAAUUACAAAAAGAAACUAAGAGAAAUACAUGUACAGAUCAUUCCCUUCAUUUUUUUUUCUUUAUAAUUCGAACCCAGUUCCUGAGAGGUAAAUUUUAUUUUUCAAUCUGCUAUGUGUCCUUCCAAUCUAUUUAUAUGUCAUAUACAUAGAUAAAGUUUUGUUUUGUAUGUGUAGUAAAACUUUGUUUUUGUUUUAUUUAAUGAUAUCAUGUGAUAUGUAUAGCAGUAUUUGUGUUCUUAUGGAAUAUGAUACAUAUGAAAUUGUAUACAUUUAUACACAAAAUUAAAUAUCUAUAUGUUACACAUUAAUACAUAUAUAACAGACAUUUAUAUCUUAAUAAGCCAAUAAUUCCUAUGAAAUACAAAAUACUACAAUAGUAAAAAAAAAAACGUGAUGUAUACCAUAAGGAACAUAAUUCAAUUUCCUUUCCUACUAUAUUAUAUUCAAUAGAAAGUAAAUACCAGAGUUUAUAUGACCAGCCCACUAAUGAUGGUCAUUCAAGUUGAUUCCAAACAGUGUUACAAAUAAUUGUGCCAUUAGCACAGGAGUAUAUAAUUUAGCAGGUUAUUGUGCUUGUAAGAAACGGAAAUUUAGUCAAAUUAUUUCUUGUAACAGGUGGGGGAGUUAAAUUCAGUACACAUGUGUCAAGGAAACCGUAAGAGCUAAACAAUCAGGUCCCAGCAGUGCAGGGGAUCCCUUCUAGGACAAUUAAUUCGGGAGUGAAAUCUGUUCAUGGGACCUUCCCUGGGGGCUCAUCUUCAGCCCAGCCCCUUCUCUCUCCUCCCAUUGGCUUUCUUGCUCCCAUGCUUUUCUUCCCACACAGCUGCCGAUCACAUCCCAGGCCCUCUGGCCUCAACCCUCAAGGGCAUGGCCUUUCAGGGUCAACUCUUACUGACAGCUAUUUGAUUCCCACAUUUCUUAGGUUGGAUUUCCUAGGGCAGAAGUUAUUUUCCUGGUGUGUGUGUAUGUGUGUGUCUCCUUGGGCCAUGUCAUGUGACUCUAGCCCACGCUUUCUUUUUGUUAGGUGUCCACCAAAAGGAAUGGAAGGACCACCCUAAGAACAUGGCCUAGACAGGACUGUCCUUAAUUUAGGGAAGCAGUGGGGAGGGGCAUUUCCCCAGCAAAAGUAAAAACGAGAUCUUUAUCCCUUUCCAGAGCUCAAGAUGGCAUAUAAACUUCAAUCAUCUGGCUGCUUUUUCAGUCUCAUGUAUUUGCAGGACUCCAGUAAAUACAUAUGUAAAUAAUUAAAAAUUUUUUUUCUCCAUUUAAUCUUUUUAUUACAAGGGGGGUUUUGGCAAAAAACCUAGAGGGUAUUGGAAAAAUUAUUUUUCCUCUCCUGCAGGAUCAUUGCAUCAUACUCCCCUAUACACAUGGUAUGAACCAUUACAACUGGUGCUAGCUAUGAUCCAGAGACCAGAUCCAGCUGCUAUAUGCACUCUGGGCUUUAUAAUGUGUAAAAUGAAUUCUAUAAUAUACCCAUUACACAAUAUAAGGAUGAAACUGGCUAAUGUCUGAAAUAUUCUUUAUAAACGCUAAAGCACUAUUUUGCCAACAUGUGAGGCUAGCUUGAAGAAAACCAGAGUAAAUCAAUAACCAGAACUUUUUACUAUUCCAGCACCGUGGUUGUAGGAAGCUUCACCAAACGUGAUAAUUUUGACCAUUUUAUUGGUCAAAAUUAGCAAAGCACUAAGUUUAGGGAGAUGAACAGAAGAGGUUCAAUUUCUGUCUGCCAUCACUUCUAGUUUGGUGGUCCAAUCUGACAACUGAUUAAGCAGAGGUGUUUUUAUCACCAUGAUGACAAAGGCCAAGAAAGAGAAAGGAAGGAUGACACGGAAACUCUUGGUCUCAGGUGCACUGUAGCACCGCAUUUUUACUCCCCUACAGCAUUUUCACUCAGAGUCCCCUGUCUCAAGUGGUCCCUUCUCUGCUUGUCAAAGUCUGAUCCUUCCGUCAAGGCUUAGAUUUACACCUAACUUAUUGGAUACCUACACUUGGAGAAGAGUGAGGCUCAGAAAAGCUUCCUGUUUUUUUAUAACAGCCUUUUGGGGCUAAAAUUUCCUUGAAAAAGCUUAAUACCUAUAUGAAACCUAUUAACAUCAGAAUUAUGUCAUAUGGUUUGAAGGAUUUUUAUUUGUUUAUUAAACAAUUUAACUUGUGUAAAAAGUUUUACUUGUAUGCAUUUGACUGCCUCAGGAACAUCAGGAGAGGUGGUAAAAGCUAUAAAUAAAUAGCCCUUGGAAAACUCAUUUAAUCUUAUCUGCAGUCCUUAUUUCAUGAUUUUCUCAGCAACCUCAUGAGAACAGAGGAUUAGUAUUUCCUUUCGGUAUGUAUAGAAAUAAAGGUUUGGAAAGGCUAAAUAACUUAUCUAAGAUCACAGAGCCAAUGAGUAUGGUCACCUGUACUCAAAGUCAGGUGUCUCUGCCACCCUCCCCACCCCCUUACCGAACUUUAGGUCCCCAACUUCUUCUUAGGUUGAGUCCUAUGCCUUGAUUAAUGAGCCCGACAUUAGGUGAGCUAAAAUCCUGCAAGCAUCAGCUCUUAGGCAGCACCUAAACUUUUAGAAAUCCUUUCCAUUCACUAAAUGGUGCCAUUUAUAACCUUCCAUUAGAGAGGAAUGGGAGAAAACUCUUUAAAUGGCAUUAUUAAAGUAAUAUAGAGGCAAUCGCCUAGCUAAGCCUCAUUUUCAGACAAAAUUAGGAUAUUUAUGUCAUAAAAGUGAAAAACCAGAAACAACCUAAAUGUCCACCAACAGGGGAUUGAUUAUACAAUUCAUGUUAUAUUCAUGCAAUGGAAUAUCGUGUAAUUAAUUAAAGUAAUAGGGUAGACAUGUAUUAACUAGCCUUAAAAAUUGUAGGUAAUAUUAAUUAUAUUUAAAAAGUAAGUCCCAGAGUUCCUGUCGUGGCUCAGUGGUUAACGAAUCCAACUAGGAACCAUGAGGUUGCAGGUUUGAUCCCCGGCCUCUCUCAGUGGGUUAAGGAUAUGGCGUUGCUGUGAGCUGUGGUAUAGGUCGCAGAUAUGGCUCGGAUCUGGCGUUGCUGUGGCUCUGGUGUAGGUAGCUCUGAUUGGAUCCCUAGCCUGGGAACCUCCAUGUGCCUCGGGUGUGGCCCCAGAAAAGACAAAAAGC
rnacentral:lncRNA from 1 species